GUAUUGUGAAUGAAAGGUGAAAAGAAUUCCGAAAGGUAGGUAAGCAUUCAUCUGCUCAUGCAUCUAUUUUAUCGUGUAUCGCAUAUCUGAAUAUGUAUGUCACUAGUCUCCAUGUAAGUCUCAUGUACCUAAUCGUAUAUUAUAAAUCCAUUUCAAUUAUGUCUAUAAGUGCUUGUGGAAGAAAGAAUUGUUGAGUUUCAACUAACACCAUUUCAUUUACAUUGUUAUUAAAGCCCGAAUACUAGCGAUCUGACUAUCUGUUCGUUGCACUGGUUGAGUAUAGUGAAGAUUGAAAUGUGGAGGGGGGCAGACCUCCCAUUCAAUUGAUAGUCGGUGUGUAAAUCUCCUACCGAGCUGUGUUAAUAUCUGGGUGUGUUCGAAAGAUGUGCAUCGUUUCUAAUAAAUGUAGAUUACAGAUUGUUGUAAAAUGCCGUACGUACAUGUUGAAGGAUUUCCUAUAAAUAAGAUUCAAUUUUGGUAGUUCGCUUAUUAGCAAGCUGCACAACCUAUGAUUCAUUCUGCAAUGGGGGUUAAGAUGGGUAUUCGCUUUUUGAACAAAUGGGAAGAAUGAGCCCAAAUGAAUGGUUAAAGUUGGAAAAUACAUCAAUGUGGCGUGUAUUAAACCAUAUCGCUGUCCUAUCAGCUCAAAAGUUGGAUUAAUAGUAUCCAUCUUUUCAAAAGUGUCUAGUAUCUUAUGAGCUAA
rnacentral:rRNA from 1 species